UGGCUCGACCAACUUGACCAUCAUCAGAAAGACACAACUAAAACAACAUAUUAUGAAUGAUAAUUUCGACAGCUAGAUGAGCACCAGACGUAUGGCACCUUCAAUGAUCAUCUAAACUAUUGGACUCAUUAUCACUCAACUUAAUGGAAGACUAUGAUCUAGUUAUCGCUAUAACUAUUUCAUUUUAGGGACCUAACAAUUUUAGAAGAUUUAAUUAGUUGAAUUGAGAGAUGAGAUGA
rnacentral:lncRNA from 1 species